UCCUGGUUCCGGAUGAACGCUGGCGGCAUGCUUAAUUCAUGCAAGUUGAACGAGAAUUCAAGAAGGUGCUUGCACCAUUUUUGGUUCUAGUAGCGAAACGGGUGAGUAACACGUGAGAAAUCUGCCCUUUAGACUGGGAUAACUACUGGAAACGGUUUGUAAUACCGGAUGUCUUCUUUGUACCGCAUGGUAUUUAGAGAAAAGCUUAGAUGCACUAAAGGAUGAUCUCGCGGCGUAUUAGUUAGUUGGUGAGAUAGUGGCUCACCAAGACAAUGAUACGUAGCCGGCCUGAGAGGGUGACCGGCCACACUGGGACUGAGACACGGCCCAGACUCCUACGGGAGGCAGCAGUAGGGAAUCAUCGGCAAUGGGGGAAACCCUGACCGUGCAAUGCCGCGUGAGUGAUGAAGGCCUUCGGGUUGUAAAACUCUGUUGCGAAGGAAGAACAACCUAGAUAGAAUCUAGGUCUGACGGUACUUCGCCAGAAAGCCAUGGCUAACUACGUGCCAGCAGCCGCGGUAAUACGUAGAUGGCGAGCGUUAUCCGGAUUUAUUGGGCGUAAAGGGUGCUCAGCUGGUUUGUUAAGUCUGUAGUUAAAAUUCGAAGCUCAACUUCGAAGUGCUAUGGAAACUGAUAAACUUGAGUGCAGAAGAGGGUAGUGGAAUUCCAUGUGAAGCGGUAAAAUGCGUAGAUAUAUGGAGGAACACCAGUGGCGAAGGCGGCUACCUGGUCUGCAACUGACGGUCAAGCACGAAAGCGUGGGGAGCAAAUAGGAUUAGAUACCCUAGUAGUCCACGCUGUAAACGAUGAAUACUAAGUGUUGGGGAAACUCAGUGCUGUAGUAACGCAAUAA
rnacentral:rRNA from 1 species